GAUGAAGAACGCAGCGAAAUGCGAUAAGUAAUGCGAAUUGCAGAAUUUCCGUGAGUCAUCGAAUCUUUGAACGCACAUUGCGCCCACUGGUAUUCCGGUGGGCAUGCCUGUUCGAGCGUCAUUAUCCUCCCUCAAACCCCGGGUUUGGUAUUGGACCCAAGUUGUGUGAACAACUGGUCUCAAAGACAAUGACGGCGUCCGUGGGACCCUCGGUGCAACGAGCUUUUAGGAGCACGCAUCGAGUUGCAAGGACCUUCCGGGCCGGUCUCCUUUACCAUUUUACAAGGUUGACCUCGGAUCAGGUAGGAAUACCCGCUGAACUUAAGCAUAUCAAUAAGCGGAGGA
rnacentral:misc_RNA from 1 species